rnacentral:rRNA from 1 species
AAUAGAUACCCGGGUAGUCCACGCCCUAAACGAUGCGCACUAGAUCGAGGGGGUCUUACCACCCUCUUGGUCGAAGCAAAAGUGUUAAGUGCGCCGCCUGGGGAGUACGGUCGCAAGGCUAAAACUCAAAGGAAUUGACGGGGGGCUCACACAAGCGGUGGAGCAUGUGGCUUAAUUCGAAGCAACGCGAAGAACCUUAUCCUAGGCUUGACAUGCACGGAUUAACUCCCUGAAAGGGGAGCCACGCCCUCGGGUGGAACGUGCACAGGUGCUGCAUGGCUGUCGUCAGCUCGUGCUGUGAAGUGUCGGGUUAAGUCCCUCAACGAGCGCAACCCCUGUCGUUAGUUGCUAACGGGUAAUGCCGAGGACUCUAGCGAGACUGCCGGUGUCAAACCGGAGGAAGGUGGGGAUGACGUCAAGUCCUCAUGGCCUUUAUGCCUAGGGCUGCACACGUGCUACGAAUGGUGAGUACAGAACGACGCGAGGCCGCAAGGCGAGCAAUCGCUCAAAGCCUCGACCCGAGUUCGGAUUGGGCC